rnacentral:rRNA from 1 species
GAUGAACGCUGGCGGCGUGCCUAAUACAUGCAAGUCGAGCGAACAGACGAGGAGCUUGCUCCUCUGACGUUAGCGGCGGACGGGUGAGUAACACGUGGAUAACCUACCUAUAAGACUGGGAUAACUUCGGGAAACCGGAGCUAAUACCGGAUAAUAUAUUGAACCGCAUGGUUCAAUAGUGAAAGACGGUUUUGCUGUCACUUAUAGAUGGAUCCGCGCCGCAUUAGCUAGUUGGUAAGGUAACGGCUUACCAAGGCAACGAUGCGUAGCCGACCUGAGAGGGUGAUCGGCCACACUGGAACUGAGACACGGUCCAGACUCCUACGGGAGGCAGCAGUAGGGAAUCUUCCGCAAAGGGCGAAAGCUUGACGGAGCAACGCCGCGUGAGUGAUGAAGGUCUUCGGAUCGUAAAACUCUGUUAUUAGGGAAGAACAAAUGUGUAAGUAACUAUGCACGCCUUGACGGUACCUAAUCAGAAAGCCACGGCUAACUACGUG